rnacentral:rRNA from 1 species
UCCAGACUCCUACGGGAGGCAGCAGUGGGGAAUAUUGCACAAUGGGGGGAACCCUGAUGCAGCGACGCCGCGUGAGUGAAGAAGUAUUUCGGUAUGUAAAGCUCCAUCAGCAGGGAAGAAAAUGACGGUACCUGACUAAGAAGCCCCGGCUAACUACGUGCCAGCAGCCGCGGUAAUUCGUAGGGGGCAAGCGUUAUCCGGAUUUACUGGGUGUAAAGGGAGCGUAGACGGCAGCGCAAGUCUGAAGUGAAAUCCCAUGGCUUAACCAUGGAACUGCUUUGGAAACUGUGCAGCUGGAGUGCAGGAGAGGUAAGCGGAAUUCCUAGUGUAGCGGUGAAAUGCGUAGAUAUUAGGAGGAACACCAGUGGCGAAGGCGGUCUGCUGGACAGCAACUGACGCUGAGGCGCGAAAGCGUGGGGAGCAAACAGGAUUAGAUACCCUGGUACUG